ACGUCGGGAUGGAGAUUGCGAACCUCCCCAUCUCGCCCUCGCAUCGGGCGAAGCUCCUCUCCGCCGGAUACACCACUUUCUCUUCCCUUUCCGCCGUCUCCCCUUCCCAACUCGCCCGAGGAAGCAUCAGAUAUUUUGAAGGUUGUGUCAGAUAUUACUAGAUCUGAAAGUCUGCAUGGUGGUAAUGCAAUUCUAAAGGGAGCCCAAACUGCUUGGGAUAUGCUUUCAGAGGAGCAAAUGCAGAAACGCAUCACUACUGGCUGUGAUGAUCUUGAUACGAUACUUGGUGGUGGGAUACAUUGCAAAGAAGUUACUGAAGUUGGUGGAGUUCCAGGGAUUGGCAAAACACAACUGGGGAUUCAGCUUGCAGUAAAUGUCCAAAUUCCGGUUGAAUAUGGUGGUCUUGGUGGGAAAGCAGUUUAUAUAGAUACAGAAGGCAGUUUCAUGGUUGAACGUGCUUAUCAAGUUGCUGAAGGAUGCAUCAUGGACACACUUGAUAAGUUUGGACACCACCGAAAAGUUAUUUUAGAUUGCCAGGAACAAAUGCAGCCAAACAGUUUUCUGGCUAAUAUCUUCUACUUCCGCAUCUGCAGCUAUACUGAGCAAAUUGCAGUGAUAAACUACCUGCAGAAGUUUCUUGCAGAGCAGAAGGAUGUGAAGAUAAUUAUAAUUGAUAGUGUCACUUUCCACUUUCGCCAAGAUUUUGAUGAUUUGGCUCUAAGGACUAGAGUUCUAUGUGGAAUGUCAUUGAAAUUGAUGGAACUUACCAAAACAUAUAAUUUGGCUGUUGUUCUUCUGAACCAAGUAACCACUAAGUUUACAGAAGGCUCAUUUCAGUUAACUCUUGCCCUAGGUGAUAGUUGGUCUCACGCAUGCACGAAUCGAGUAAUUUUAUACUGGAACGGGAAUGAGCGGCAUGCAUAUAUCGAUAAGUCACCAUCUCUUCGAUCAGCCUCUGCCCCUUUCUCAGUUACAAGCAAAGGGAUACGUAAUGCCACUUCACAAUGCAAGCGUGUCAGAAUGAUGUAAAUAGCAUCGACUAUGUUCUUAAAAAAAAAGAAAGAAAGAAACUUGACAAUUUUUUUUUGGGUCACGAAGAGGGCGGGCUCCUGUUAAAAACUCUUAUUUAGUGAGUUUUUUUUGUCCUCCACCAUAAGAAUCCAUGGCCGGAAAAUCAAAAGAAAACAGAAAAAUGAUGUUAGCCAUUUUUCACUACGUUGAUCUUUUCCAUUCAAGAACUGAGUGUCUGAUGCUCUGAUGCACAAUGGUGCAGCUCAGGUUGAACAGAGCUGGAUAGCUAAUUUGAAUCCAGGAGUGCUACUGGGCCUUCUAACUUCUGAUGGACCCUAUUCUAGUCUUCCCUGCUAUCAAAUUUUGAUCAGAACUAAUCUCAACUUUGAUUUUUUUUUUUUUUAAAACGUCUGGAUGACUAUUUCUUUACAACACUACCUAUUUGUGCCCUUUGAAAGCUUUAAACUAAAGGACGUAGAACCUUUGUCAUACUGUUCUUGUGAAGCAUAGAGGGAGUUCAUGUUUUAUGUUUCUUCCUCGGUUCUGGGAUUAAACUGUGAUACGAAUGCGAGCACUCAAACGGUACGCCCAAAUUAGAUCGAGCCACCGACUUCGGCCCUCUAUAAAUGCACCUCGUUCUCCCUUUCUUUUUCUCAUCCCUCCUUUCCCGCCCAACCAUGAAGGCUUCUUCCGUCCUCCAAACCUCAAGACUGGCGAACCGUGCCCGAUCGAAGGAAACGCCUCCCUCCCAGCGAUCCGAUCCCAAUUCCGGCAACGGGAAAUCUCACAAGAUCGUUCCAAAGCGCCUGAGCUGGGAGUUCUCCGACUCGCCGGAAGAAAUCCCCUCCGAUCCACUGGAUUCCGUCGGUUUGUCGCCCGAGAUGAUGAGCACCGUGGAAGAUCCGGCGGAGAUGGUCUCACCUAUCUUCGUUUCUUUUAAGAUGGACGAGCACGCGGUGAUGGGAUCCGGCAAGCUCACUGGCGGAUGCACCGACUCUGAUGCUGUGAAGGAGGAGGAGAAGGAGAGGGCUCUGGUGGUGAUAGAUCGCGUGCGAGAAGCUCUGCUCGAGAUCAGCGCGUCGGACCUCAGCAAUGAAACCAAGAGGGCGGUGGAAGCUCUGGUCGAGAUCGUGAUCGGAGAUCCGGGCGUGGACACGAGGGCGAGAGAUGGAUUUCCGGAUCAUGUUUUCCGGGCAAAUGUGCGCAUUGGGAUUCUUCUUUUCCUGAUUUGGUUGGUGAUGGUGAUAUACACGCUGGUGGCCACGACGAUCUGGUUUGUCCGCGGACGGGAAGAAGCUCUCGCUGGGCCACCUCCUACCUGACCUUCAUCAAAUUGUUUCCAAGAAAGAAAGGUGGUGGUCUCGCUGUUGUGGUCGGCUGUGGACGAGCUCUCUCUUUCCACGGCUUGCCUCUACCCGGAGUUCUCUAACUUCGAAUUUACUCUACCAUGAAUUUUAGUUGGUGAUCCUCCCGAUCCAUUUUUUUCUUUAAUCAAAGAAGCUUCGGACAUGCAGCAGUGGCUACGGGCAAAUUAUAACUGAAGAAAGUUCUAGUUAGAAAUAUGUGGGCUGUCGGUAUUUUUGUUACGAGAUGCUAGAUAUAGAUCCUGAUCCUCGUGAAAGGGCGUGGGUUCACAUCCGUCUGCCAAACAAAGGGUUUUGCUUUGUUCUCUUCACUUGUAAAUACAUUUUUUGCAAAUACUUUUUCCCUCUUUAAUAAAUUCAGGGUGGUAUUCUUCGCCUCCCUUUUCCUU